AUUGAACGCUGGCGGCAUGCCUUACACAUGCAAGUCGAACGGUAACAGGGAGCUUGCUCCGCUGACGAGUGGCGAACGGGUGAGUAAUGUAUCGGAACGUACCUUUUAGUGGGGGAUAACGUAGCGAAAGUUACGCUAAUACCGCAUAUUCUCUGAGGAGGAAAGCAGGGGACCUUCGGGCCUUGCGCUAAUAGAGCGGCUGAUAUCAGAUUAGCUAGUUGGUGAGGUAAAGGCUCACCAAGGCGACGAUCUGUAGCGGGUCUGAGAGGAUGAUCCGCCACACUGGAACUGAGACACGGUCCAGACUCCUACGGGAGGCAGCAGUGGGGAAUUUUGGACAAUGGGGGCAACCCUGAUCCAGCCAUGCCGCGUGAGUGAAGAAGGCCUUCGGGUUGUAAAGCUCUUUCGGCCGGGAAAAAAUCGCAUGGGUUAAUACCCUGUGUGGAUGAUGGUACCGGAAUAAGAAGCACCGGCUAACUACGUGCCAGCCGCCGCCGUAA
rnacentral:rRNA from 1 species